GCACAAGCGGUGGAGUAUGUGGUUUAAUUCGAUGCAACGCGAAGAACCUUACCUGGUCUUGACAUCCCGGAGACCCUUAGGAAACUAGGGGGUGCUUCCAUCUGGAAGAAUCUGGAGACAGGUGCUGCAUGGCUGUCGUCAGCUCGUGUCGUGAGAUGAUGGGUUAAGUCCCGCAACGAGCGCAACCCUUGCCUUUAGUUGCCAGCAGUUCGGCUGGGCACUCUAAAGGGACUGCCGGUGUUAAACCGGAGGAAGGUGGGGAUGACGUCAAGUCCUCAUGGCCUUUAUGACCAGGGCUACACACGUACUACAAUGGCCGAUACAAAGGGCAGCGACACUGCGAGGUGAAGCCAAUCCCGUAAAAUCGGUCUCAGUCCGGAUUGGAGUCUGCAACUCGACUCCAUGAAGUUGGAAUCGCUAGUAAUCGUGGAUCAGCAUGCCACGGUGAAUACGUUCCCGGGCCUU
rnacentral:rRNA from 1 species